rnacentral:rRNA from 1 species
AGCAGUAGCCACGGUAAAACGUAGGUGGCAAGCGUUGUCCGGAAUUAUUGGGCGUAAAGCGCGCGCAGGUGGUUUAAUAAGUCUGAUGUGAAAGCCCACGGCUCAACCGUGGAGGGUCAUUGGAAACUGUUAAACUUGAGUGCAGGAGAGAAAAGUGGAAUUCCUAGUGUAGCGGUGAAAUGCGUAGAGAUUAGGAGGAACACCAGUGGCGAAGGUGGCUUUUUGGCCUGUAACUGACACUGAGGCGCGAAAGCGUGGGGAGCAAACAGGAUUAGAUACCCGCGUAGUCCCUGUCUCUUAUAC